AUUGAACGCUGGCGGCAGGCCUAACACAUGCAAGUCGAACGGCAGCACAGAAGAGCUUGCUCUUUGGGUGGCGAGUGGCGGACGGGUGAGUAAUGUCUGGGAAACUGCCCGAUGGAGGGGGAUAACUACUGGAAACGGUAGCUAAUACCGCAUAACGUCGCAAGACCAAAGUGGGGGACCUUCGGGCCUCACACCAUCGGAUGUGCCCAGAUGGGAUUAGCUAGUAGGUGGGGUAAUGGCUCACCUAGGCGACGAUCCCUAGCUGGUCUGAGAGGAUGAGCAGCCACACUGGAACUGAGACACGGUCCAGACUCCUACGGGAGGCAGCAGUGGGGAAUAUUGCACAAUGGGCGCAAGCCUGAUGCAGCCAUGCCGCGUGUAUGAAGAAGGCCUUCGGGUUGUAAAGUACUUUCAGCGGGGAGGAAGGCGGUGAGGUUAAUAACCUCGCCGAUUGACGUUACCCGCAGAAGAAGCACCGGCUAACUCCGUGCCAGCCGCCGCCGUAA
rnacentral:rRNA from 1 species